UCACAGUUUUAAAAAUGGUUUGGUUUUGUUUGGUUAUGUUUUCAAAUACCAAAACAGUUUUGAAAAUAAGAGAGAAAAGAAAAGGAUUUUCAAAAUCAAACCCUAACCCCUCUAACCAGGCCUCUCUCUGGACCCUCUCUAUCCGGCGGCCCAACUCCUUUCCCUCCUCCCUGGCCCGAGCCGGCCACUUCCUCUUUCAGCCCAAGCCCACCAACCAUACCCCUUCGCUUUUCUUUCCUGUUGUCGUCAUCCUCCUCCACGAGCACCGCGUGACCACCGUGGUCCUCCACCAGCCUGGCUCACACCUGCCCCCUCUCCUUAUCCUCUCUGCGCCGAACCCUAGCCCUCCCCCUUAUCUUCUUCCCUCCACGCCGCCACCACCUACUUUCCCUCCACCCUUUCUGUUUUCUCCUCUCUGUGAGCAAAGGAAGGGGAAAACCACCACAGUACCUUCUCCACUUGCCAUGGCGCCGCCGCCCCAGAGCACCCCUCGCCGAACCGAGGGCACCAGAAGAUCCGCCUCGUCGUCCUCUUCAUCUGCGUGUAAGGAAUCGUCCCGAGGCGCUUUGUACUGAGCACAAGGUCGCCGAUUCCCCGCAGCGUUUGCUGUCCAUCUUCUCCGAAUCCGGCCGCCUACGUCCUCCUCCGGCCCGUCCGAUACCUCCAUCACGAUCGCGGUACCCGACGCCGACGCCACUCCGGUGCCUCCCCGGCUCAAAGUCCUUCAUGGCUGGAGUCCCCAUGCUCUUCCGUUUCGAACGUGCCCGCUCCCGUCGCACCUCGUUUCCUACUUCGUGAGAUCGACAUCAGACCAGGACCUCACGCCAUGGCUGCAGCCUCCCAAGUUCAUCCACGUCGCUGUUUGGUUCAAGUUGUUCCACGUCCUCCUUUACACAUGAAACGGACAAUACCGCAGUGAUCUGGCAGCACCGACGGGCCUUGGCCCAGAUCCUCCGUCCCUGAUCAACGCCCAGUGCGGCCCAGGCCAAUCUCACGCCAAAGCUGACCAGUUCCAGCCCAGGACAGCGCAGCAUUUGCUUCUUCCCGGAUAGGAUCACGAAGUGGUGUGGUGAGAUACGCCAAGUUCUCCGGAUGUCCCUCGGCAAGCUUUAACAGGCAAG